rnacentral:rRNA from 1 species
UCUUGACAUCGAUCUGACCGGACUGUAAUGAGUCCUUUCCCUUCGGGGACAGAGAAGACAGGUGGUGCAUGGUUGUCGUCAGCUCGUGUCGUGAGAUGUUGGGUUAANUCCCGCAACGAGCGCAACCCUUAUCCUCAGUAGCCAGCAAGUGAAGUUGGGCACUCUGUGGAGACUGCCAGGGAUAACCUGGAGGAAGGUGGGGAUGACNUCAAAUCAUCAUGCCCCUUAUGAUUUGGGCUACACACGUGCUACAAUGGCGUAAACAAAGGGAAGCGAUCACGCGAGUGUGAGCAAAUCUCAAAAAUAACGUCUCAGUUCGGAUUGUAGUCUGCAACUCGACUACAUGAAGCUGGAAUCGCUAGUAAUCGCAGGUCAGCAUACUGCGGUGAAUACGUUCCCGGGUCUUGUACACACCG